rnacentral:rRNA from 1 species
GAUGAACGCUGGCGGCGUGCCUAAUACAUGCAAGUCGAGCGGAGAGAGGACGGGGGCGUAACACGUGGAUAACCUCCUUUAUGCAUGGGAUCACUUCGUGAAACCGGUGCUAAACCGGAUCCUUAUAGAUGGAUCCGCGCUGCAUUAGCUAGUUGGUAAUGUAACGGCUUACCCAGGCAACGAUGCAUAGCCGACCUGAGAGGGUGAUCGGCCACACGGGAGCUUAGCCACUGGCCAGACUCCUACGGGAGGCAGCAGUAGGGAAUCUUCCGCAAUGGGCGAAAGCCUGACGGGGCAAUGCCGCGUGAGUGAUGAAGGUCGUCGGAUCGUAAAGCUCUGUUAUUAGGGAGGCGUUACCUACUCAGAAAGCCACGGCUAACUACGUGCCAGCAGCCGCGGUAAUAC